UACGAUUUGGAUAAUCGAUUAUUCUGCUUAAAAUCUGGGAAUGAUUUUUGAACGAUUGGAAAAUAAUCGAUUAUGCAAAUCAGAUAAUCGACUAUCUUAGCACAAAAUCAGCAAUUCUUGAUUGGCAAUUAGGCAACGGUUGUGGAGGUUUUGAACACCAUAAAUACAACUCAAAAUCAGUCGUCUAAGUACAACAAAUGAUCAUAUUCUUGCUAAAGCUUGCAUACUCUCAUAUUCAUCAUUUUCUAUUCAUUUCAUAAGUUUUUGAGAGCCAAACUCUUGACGACAGUUGUUGUGUUCUUGAGCGUAUUUAUUUUACUCAUAUCUACUCUUAAAGAGAGUCUUGUCUUGAGUGCUAAGUGUUUGUAUACACUUGAAGGG
rnacentral:lncRNA from 1 species